GAAGGGUGUGUUUAUCAUCAUAGGGGUGGCAUUAUGAGACCUCCCUCCACAUGUGCAGAUUUUCUUUCUUUGUUUAAUUUCACGUGUUGUAAUAAGGGCUUCUAGAAAGCCACACAUUUAGCACAUGUAUGCUGACAUGGCUNUAGGCCUUUUCCUUGCUUGACCGAGAGGUUGAUCUAUAAAACCUCCUUGGCAUAGCUUGUAUCAUUUACUUUUGGAUGAUAGUAAGAAAUCUCUGCUAAAAUGCAUUGCCAACUUCUCCUUUCCAAGAGUCACUCUAUGCUUUGUUUCCUC
rnacentral:lncRNA from 1 species